CUCGUCCAUAUUGAUGUUGCUGCUAUCAUGGCUGGCCGGUGACGCUGCCAAUCAUGACCACAUGCCUUGCUCAUCCAUGACCUCAAAAGGCAAACUGAAAAAACAAACGCGAGGCGGCUCGUCCGAGUUUCAUGGUCGGUGGAAGUAGAAACAUAUUUUAAUUGUCUUUUCCCAUCCACAUCAACAAACACGAGUCAAUUUAUAAGCGGACGUGAGUAAAAAAUACUCGCAACAUGACCAGCAGUUGAUGUAAACGCUAUGGACCCAUCGAAUAUUUUAUCGAGGCGAAGGUAGCUAUCGGAAACGGUGGCUGUCGAGAUGGUCUUGGGGGGUCGUGGAGGAAGCAUGGGGCAAUGGUCCUUGCUAGGCUAGCCUCAUCCCCGGCGGGAGGUGAACGCAAGAUGAUGUUCUAUGAUGCAACACACUGAAGCGAAGAACCGGUUCCUUUGCUGUAAAACCAAUCUCGAAUUACAGGCAGUCCAGAUCGGAAGAGGGGCAAGGGAGACCCUGAGUUCGGUUGGAGUUUCUCUAGGAACUGGCGCUUUACUUUGAACGAUGUUUAUCAUUUGGCUGAAGGUUUGGAUGCUUGGAGAAAGCCGGAAGAAGACUGGGAGCUGCGCGUGGAAAGCGGAUGCUGUUCCUCACAUUCGAUUUUUCAUUUGGUUAAUGUCACUCACAGCAUUGCCACGAGAUCCACUCUGGCGAGAAGAGAUUUGAAUGUCAGCACUAUCUGUCCUUAAUGAAUGUUGGGCUAACAUUGGUGCUCCUUCUCCCCUUCACCAUAGUUAUGAUCUUAGUCUGAGGGACUGGAUCGGCGCUAAGUCGGACACACAUU